AACGCACAUGGCGCCUUCUGGUAUUCCGGGAGGCAUGCCUGUUCGAGCGUCGUCUCCCCCUGCCAGCCCCGCUGGGUGUUGCGGGCGGCCCCCCGGGGUCCCCGCCAAAAGGAGCGGCGGCACAGACCGGCCUGGAGCGCAUUGACAUACUUUCGCCCCGGGGUCGGGAUGGGCCGGCCGAGCAAGCCACACGCACCUCGGUGCGUCAUCGGACGAUGUGACCUCGGAUCAGGUAGGGAUACCCGCUGAACUUAA
rnacentral:misc_RNA from 1 species